AUUGGCAAAGGUUGGGGUCUCCAGACUCCCCAAACCUUCCUCCCUAUUUCCUCACAAGGGACUAUGGGGAGCGCUGGCUACACAGCUUCCCAGUGUCCCCAAAAGGGCCAGCAGGGAGCAUGGAGAAGGUGGAUGAGGUCAGCUGAGGGCUGCAGUCAGAACACACCUGCAAAGCUUCCUGGCUACACAGAGGACAGUCUUGAAAACAGCUGCGUGCUGACCUGAGUCUCCCUGAGAUGGCGUGGGACUGGGAGGGCCUCCUUUCCCUCCCUCCACCAGCUCCCAGCUCACCACUUCGGAAGGGAACAAGAUGUAGAACUCUCAGCUCCUCCUGCACCAUGCCUGCCUGGAUGCUGCCCUGCUCCUGCCUUGAUGAUAAUGGACUGAACCUCUGAACCUGUAAGCCAGCCC